ACUGCUCUUCAUGGGGCUCUCAGGGCAUCACACCACCAUAUCACUUGUUGGGCAAUAGGCCACGGCGGGUUCGAGUGCGUGCGCGUGUGUGUGCAUGCGCUGGGCGCGUCGGGUCCAGCCCGUGGCGGGCUCGGGUGCGUGUGUGCGUGUCCGAGGGUGUGUGCGUGAGUUAGUUGGCGCAACGUGCGGGUGGAGUGACCGCGUCGGGCGUGAGUUGCGGCCGGGGUGAUCGCGUACAUGCGCGAGGGGCGCGCGCGUGGCGUGUGGGUGAGUGGGUGCGUAUGGGCGCGGGCUGGCAUGUCUGUGCAGGCAGUUAUAAAGCCCCCACCCCACCUGUGCACUGUGUUGCGCUGAUCGAGUUCGAGCUCGAGGAGAAAACAGAAAAACGCCGUUCAUGCGGCAGGUGUUUGUGCGCCACCAUAUUCUCUGUGUCCAUCUUCUUCCUCUCCGGCCGUGUCUCCGGUGAUCCCCGUCGAGUGAUAGGGCUAGCUGCGCCAACAUCAUUCUGCUCCCUGGCUUCUCUGCGCUCCUCUCUCGUCUCUCCGGCCGGCAAGAACCGAAGCAGCAGCAGCCAGCAGGAGUCCUAAGUCAGUGGACCAUCGAGGUGAUCUACGGCCGCAACAUCAUCGUCCUAAGCUGUCCUGGCCGGUCCGCUGCUGAAUCAAGGUGAGCUCUCAUAGUUCUCAUAUGUAGCUAGUCAUGCCAACCGUUGGCGAGUGUGUGUGUGUGUGUGGGUGGGUGGGUGGGGUGGGCCGGAGGCUACCACUCCCAGCCCGAUUAUGACUGUAUCAGGUCAGCUGGGGGAGGGGCGCGGGCUGGAGGUCCGCCCUACUUUCUCACCGCGGGGCAGUUCUGGACAGCUUGGUUCGGUGCACAGGCACGAGGCCAGCACUGUUCCCUCGCCGACGUCGUCUCCGUGCUCCUUCAUCGGUUUUGGGGGGGAGAGGGACUAUGGAGCAGGUGGCUCCACGGUCAGUUUCUCCCACCAUUUCGGCUGGAGUGGCUCGCAAAGCCGCGCCUAUCCCUUCCUCACUGGCAUCUAGGGAUGGGCGUCUUUGUGGGGAGCACUCACCUAGGGAGAGGACUACAGAGGAGCUCAUUUCCUUUGGCGGGAUCCCGGAUCCGGUAGCGUCUGGCAGGCGUGUCAGCAACCGGAUCCAGGAACAACCUGAUGCUGAUGACCUGCAGUUAGCGCGUGCCAAGAGGACGGCCAUGCUUCGAGAUGUCGAGGCAACUACAGGUCAUCUUCAGAGCUACUGUUUGGAUCCGUACGUGGUCCUUACCCACUCCUAUGGAAUCCAGGGAGCUGUUGGUUACUUGAUGCAACCAUUGGGAGAUGGUAGCACGGGCUUUAUUCAACCGGUUCGAAUGGCGGUCGCAUAACAGGAUAGGAGUCUAGGGAGCUUAUCCUUCUUUUUGCCAUUCCGGUUAUGUUUGUCGGCAUGAACUUUGUUUCUGUUCUUUUUUCGCUCCACUUGCGAGCUGUAAUACUUUGACGACUUUGUGUUACUUUGCGAACUUUUAAUAAGAUGGCUGCAUGCAUCAUUAUGAUGCAGAGGCCGGGGGUAUACCACCAUUUCCAAAAAAGAAAAAUGCCAACAUGUGGGUAAGAAAUGAUGGUUCUUCGCCUUGGGCCGUUCUUCUUUCCUUGUCCUCUUUCAUUUUUGCUUUUGGCUAUGUGAAAAGAUACUCUUCCGGAUUAUGUAGCAGCCUGGAAGCCAUGAAUUACCAGACGUUAAUGUUUGCUACACUAGCUUACAGAACCCAGCUCUUAACUACCGCACCCAGCCUGGACCAUGAUGCACGAUUAUGGCGUACUCCGUAGCUGGGUUGAGCACUUAAUCCAUAUGUUUAGAUCAAGUAUGCCAGUUCUUAACUAGGUCCAUAGAUAUUAGUUCGGUAUGUUAACACAGAACUCUAGGAUAGUAACAGGCUAUUUUUAGCUUGAAUGGGAACCUGCUUACUGAUGAAGCGUGAAAAAUAAUAAAUCGACAUACUUCUUAAUUAGUAAGCCUCGUAUCACCUUAACGCUCGACAAAAUGACCGAGUUGUCUUUUUAUCAUUAAUUUUAGCCACUGAAUUAUCUGCUCCAUGACUAUCCGUACAUGAUUGUGUAUGACCACGCACAAAUUGUGAAUGUGGCCUUGAUUUCCCGCAAACCGGAUGUUUCACUAUGCCAUGCUUUACCAUGUAAUUGAACACUUAGUCCGUAUGUCCAAAGAUCAGCUCAAUUUUUAAUUUUUUAUUCUCUUGUAUCUCCAAAUGCUAAGGUUUGUUGCACUUGCAGAAUGGACUGUACCAAGCGCGUCAACACGCUGUUGAUUCUUGCUCUUAUCGUAUGCCUUGCUAUUCAAGGGCAGUGUAACUGAUGCUAUCACCGAUUGCAACAUAUUGUUCUUGUCGUGUCCUUCCUUCCUUUGGUUCUUCACGUGUGUUUUUCUCACUGCCACUUAGUCUUGAAUAUUAAUGGCAUAUAUCAAUAAUAUUACAGGUGAUCAUCCUGGGUGCUACAGGAGUAGCACUUUCCCACCGUGCAACCCCGACAAAAACACGUUUUACUGCUGUUUUUAUAACUGGACUUGUUACAAGUCAUUUGCGGAAUGCGGACCUGCUUGCCAUCCUCCCCCCUCUUCCUCCUCUGUAGAUCCAUAGAACUAGAUUCUUGUAGCCAAUUGGAAAGAUGGAUGAAUAAGAGAAUAAAUUGUUAAGAAAAUUGUGUUCAUGUGCUAUGUAUUGUGUUGUGUCUGUCCUCCCUCUACUAGAUUAUAGAAUCUGAGCAUGCGGCUUGUGCAUGCCUCCCAUCAUGGAGAUGGUUAGUCCACUCCUCCUUAUUUGUACAACACUGUAACAUCCUCGCAUAAUGUGAACAAUAGUAUUCAGCUUGGUGAUCA